GACGAACGCUGGCGGCGUGCUUAACACAUGCAAGUCGAACGGAAAGGCCCUGCUUGUGUGGGGUGCUCGAGGGGCGAACGGGUGAGGAACACGUGAGUAACCGGCUCUUGACUUUGGGAUAACUUCAGGAAACUGGGGCUAAGACCGUAUAGGAGCUCCUGCUGCAUGGUGGGGGUGGGAAAGUUUCGGCGGUUGGGGCUGGACUCGCGGCUUAUCAGCUUGUUGGUGGGGGAGUGGCUUACCAAGGCUUUGACGGGUAGCCGGCCUGAGAGGGUGACCGGCCACAUUGGGACUGAGAUACGGCCCAGACUCCUACGGGAGGCAGCAGUGGGGAAUAUUGCCCAAUGGGCGGAAGCCUGAUGAAGCAACGCCGCGUGCGGGAUGACGGCCUUCGGGUUGUAAACCGCUUUCGCCUGUGACGAAGCGUGAGUGACGGUAAUGGGUAAAGAAGCACCGGCUAACUACGUG
rnacentral:rRNA from 1 species